rnacentral:RNase_P_RNA from 1 species
ACAGCAAUUCGUUCUGUCGCUGUCCCUUGUGGAUAGAGGAAAGUCCGGACAACAAAGAGCGCCAUACUUCCUAACAGGAAGGUCUCAUUAAUGAGAACAGCCAGUGCCACAGAAAAUAACCGCCGAAAGGUAAGGGUGAAAAUGUGAGGUAAGAGCUCACACACUAUACAGGUAACUGUGUAUUGGGGUAAACCUUAUGGGUUGAAAGACCAUGUAUACCGAGGAUUGAGGGUUGCUCGCCUAAUCUCGGAGGGUAGGUCGAUAGAAAUAUUUAGUGAUAAAUAUUCCAGAUAAAUGACAGAAAUUCCGACAAAAAUCGGAAUACAGAAUCCGGCUUACAGAGUUGCUGUUUUU